GUACUAGCUUUGGCAGUACAUAUUCUAAGAUUGGAAUGAUACAGAAAUUAGCAUGGCCCCCUGCGCAAGGAUGACAUGCAAAUUCGUGAAGCACUCCAUACUUUU